rnacentral:tRNA from 2 species
CCCUGGUUAGCUCAGUUGGUAGAGCGCUCCACUGGAAAUGGAGAGGUUCCGGGUUCGAUACCCGGGCCAGGCG